rnacentral:misc_RNA from 1 species
GAUGAAGAACGUAGCGAAAUGCGAUACGUAAUGUGAAUUGCAAAUUCAGUGAAUCAUCGAGUCUUUGAACGCACAUUGCGCCCCCUGGUAUUCCGGGGGGCAUGCCUGUCCGAGCGUCAUUGCUGCCCUCAAGCACGGCUUGUGUGUUGGGCCCCGUCCUCCGAUCCCGGGGGACGGGCCCGAAAGGCAGCGGCGGCACCGCGUCCGGUCCUCGAGCGAAUGGGGCUUUGUCACCCGCUCUGUAGGCCCGGCCGGCGCUUGCCGAUCAACCCAAAUUUUUAUCCAGGUUGACCUCGGAUCAGGUAGGGAUACCCGCUGAACUUAAGCAUAUCAAUAAGCGGAGGA